UGUAAUACUUAGAUGCAAACAAAAGAGCAAGAUGGAAAAUGGUACCAAACUGUAACCUGCUGCUGGGCAAGUGAAGAUGUUCCUUUCUUAUCAGAUCCUCUUUGUGGGGAAGAAUAAUGCCAUACUUCACUCAGGAUUUCAUUCGACCGCAAUCAAUAUAGGAUGUGUAAGGAGGAGUUUUUGAAGCUAAAUACCUUUUAGUUCCCUUCAACUUUGUGUAUAAAUUCCUAUACAAAACCAAUUAAAAUCUUUGCUGUCUUGAAAUUAUAGUUUCCAUUACUGUACUCAACACAGUGUUUUAUCAUCUCACACUAUAAACCUCUAAACAGGAAUAAUCCUGCAAGAAGACAGCACUCUGGGAGGCUUCUGAUGGAAAAAUAAAUGCCUAGUUGCAAGUGAAUGCA
rnacentral:lncRNA from 1 species